rnacentral:lncRNA from 1 species
UUUAAGCCUGGCUCAAAACGAAGCCAUUUUGAUGCCAGGUCAUUAAACAACUUUGAAACCUCUUGGACCAAAACGAUGCCGUUUCAGUUAGGAAGUUAAAAAAUAAAUAAAAAUUGCCCAACAUGUAGCACCCAGCGCAGGGCCUUUGUGGCCUUUCAUCGAACACCUUGCGUGCAUCUUGGGGUCGUUGUUCUGCUCACCAUGAAGUUUGCUCAGACCUCCACAUCCAUGUUUUCGACUAGUUCAUAGGGUCAAG